rnacentral:rRNA from 1 species
UACGUAGGGGGCAAGCGUUGUCCGGAUUUACUGGGUGUAAAGGGCGCGCAGGCGGACUUGCAAGUCAGGGGUGAAAUCCUGCAGCUUAACUGCAGAACUGCCUUUGAUACUGCAAGUCUUGAGUAUGGAAGAGAGAAGCGGAAUUCCAGGUGUAGUGGUGAAAUACGUAGAUAUCUGGAAGAACACCAGUUGCGAAGGCGGCUUCUUGGUCCAUUACUGACGCUCAGGCGCGAAAGCGUGGGUAGCAAACAGG